rnacentral:rRNA from 1 species
GAUGAACGCUAGCUACAGGCUUAACACAUGCAAGUCGAGGGGAAACGACAUUGAAGCUUGCUUCGAUGGUCGUCGACCGGUGCACGGGUGAGUAACGCGUAUCCACCCUGCCUCUGACCAAGGGAUAACCCGUCGAAAGUCGGCCUAAUACCUUAUGCAGAUGUCGGAAGUCAUCUGAUGACGACGAAAGAUUUUAUCGGUGCGAGCUGGGGAUGCGUCUGAUUAGUUUGUUGGCGGGGUAACGGCCCACCAAGGCAACGAUCAGUAGGGGUUCUGAGAGGGAGGUCCCCCACAUUGGAACUGAGACACGGACCAGACUCCUACGGGAGGCAGCAGUGAGGAAUAUUGGUCAAUGGUCGGGAGCCUGAACCAGCCAAGUAGCGUGCAGGAUGACUGCCUUAUGGGUUGUAAACUGCUUUUAUACGGGGAGAAAAUGAGGUACGUGUCCUUCAUUGCAGGUACCACAUGAAUAAGCACCGGCUAAUUCCGUG